rnacentral:rRNA from 1 species
UACGUAGGGGGCAAGCGUUGUCCGGAUUUAUUGGGCGUAAAGCGCUCGCAGGUGGUUCGUCGCGUCGUGCGUGAAAGCCCCCGGCUCAACUGGGGAGGGUCACGCGAUACUGAUCGACUCGAAGGCAGGAGAGGGUAGUGGAAUUCCCGGUGUAGUGGUGAAAUGCGUAGAUAUCGGGAGGAACACCAGUGGCGAAGGCGACUACCUGGCCUGUUCUUGACGCUGAGGCGCGAAAGCUAGGGGAGCAAACGGGG